rnacentral:rRNA from 1 species
GAUGGGGAUGCGUUCCAUUAGUUAGUUGGCGGGGUAACGGCCCACCAAGACGACGAUGGAUAGGGGUUCUGAGAGGAAGGUCCCCCACAUUGGAACUGAGACACGGUCCAAACUCCUACGGGAGGCAGCAGUGAGGAAUAUUGGUCAAUGGACGAGAGUCUGAACCAGCCAAGUAGCGUGAAGGAUGACUGCCCUAUGGGUUGUAAACUUCUUUUAUAUGGGAAUAAAACGUUCCACGUGUGGGAUUUUGUAUGUACCAUAUGAAUAAGGAUCGGCUAACUCCGUGCCAGCAGCCGCGGUAAUACGGAGGAUCCGAGCGUUAUCCGGAUUUAUUGGGUUUAAAGGGAGCGUAGGUGGAUUGUUAAGUCAGUUGUGAAAGUUUGCGGCUCAACCGUAAAAUUGCAGUUGAAACUGGCAGUCUUGAGUACAGUAGAGGUGGGCGGAAUUCGUGGUGUAGCGGUGAAAUGCUUAGAUAUCACGAAGAACUCCGAUUGCGAAGGCAGCUCACUGGACUGCAACUGACACUGAGGCUCGAAAGUGUGGGUAUCAAACAGGAUUAGAUACCCUGGUAGUCCACACAGUAAACGAUGAAUACUCGCUGUUUGCGAUAUACAGCAA